ensembl:snRNA U1 U1 spliceosomal RNA
GUACAUUGACAGGGGAGAUACCAUGAUCGCCACGGUUGUUUUCCCCAUGGCGAGGCUCAUCCAUUGCACUCUGGGUAUGCUGACCUCUGUGAUUUCUCCAAAUGCGGGAAACUCAACUGCAUAAUUUGCAGUAGUGGGGGACUGUGUUCACGCUCAUUUG